AUUGAACGCUGGCGGAAUGCUUUACACAUGCAAGUCGAACGGCAGCACGGACUUCGGUCUGGUGGCGAGUGGCGAACGGGUGAGUAAUGUAUCGGAACGUGCCCAGUCGUGGGGGAUAACGUAGUGAAAAUUACGCUAAUACCGCAUACGAUCUAUGGAUGAAAGCGGGGGAUCGCAAGACCUCGCGCGAGUGGAUCGGUCGAUAUCAGAUUAGGUAGUUGGUGGGGGAAAGGCCCACCAAGCCAACGAUCUGUAGCUGGUCUGAGAGGACGACCAGCCACACUGGAACUGAGACACGGUCCAGACUCCUACGGGGGGCAGCAGUGGGGAAUUUUGGACAAUGGGCGAGAGCCUGAUCCAGCCAUUCCGCGUGCAGGAUGAAGGCCCUCGGGUUGUAAACUGCUUUUGUACAGAACGAAAAGGUUUCUACUAAUACUAGGAGCUCAUGACGGUACUGUAAGAAUAAGCACCGGCUAACUACGUGCCAGCAGCCGCCGUAA
rnacentral:rRNA from 1 species